rnacentral:rRNA from 1 species
UACGUAGGGGGCCAGCGUUGUCCGGAAUCAUUGGGCGUAAAGAGCGCGUAGGCGGCCAGGCAAGUCCGGUGUGAAAGUCACAGGCUCAACCUGUGAAUGCCGCUGGAAACUGUCUGGCUAGAGUCCGGAAGGGGCGAGUGGAAUUCCUGGUGUAGCGGUGAAAUGCGCAGAUAUCAGGAGGAACACCAAUGGCGAAGGCAGCUCGCUGGAACGGUACUGACGCUGAGGCGCGAAAGCGUGGGGAGCGAACAGG